GACGAACGCUGGCGGCGUGCCUAAUACAUGCAAGUCAAGCGGACUUUCAAGAAGCUUGCUUUUUGAAAGUUAGCGGCGGACGGGUGAGUAACACGUGGGCAACCUGCCUGUAAGACGGGGAUAACUCCGGGAAACCGGGGCUAAUACCGGAUAAUAUCUUUCUUCGCAUGAAGGAAGGUUGAAAGGCGGCGCAAGCUGCCGCUUGCAGAUGGGCCCGCGGCGCAUUAGCUAGUUGGUGAGGUAACGGCUCACCAAGGCGACGAUGCGUAGCCGACCUGAGAGGGUGAUCGGCCACACUGGGACUGAGACACAGCCCAGACUCCUACGGGAGGCAGCAGUAGGGAAUCUUCCGCAGUGGACGAAAGUCUGACGGAGCAACGCCGCGUGAGCGAAGAAGGUCUUCGGAUCGUAAAGCUCUGUUGUCAGGGAAGAACAAGUACCGUUCGAAUAGGGCGGUACCUUGACGGUACCUGACCAGAAAGCCACGGCUAACUACGUGCCAGCCGCCGCGGUAA
rnacentral:rRNA from 1 species